rnacentral:tRNA from 1 species
GGGGGUAUGGUGUAAUGGAUAGCAUAACAUUCUGCGGAGUUGUUGAUCCGGGUUCGAAUCCUGGUGCCCCCACCA